UACAGGGGAUGCAAGUGUUAUCCGGAAUUAUUGGGCGUAAAGCGUCUGUAGGUGGUUUUAUAAGUCUUUUGUUAAAUUAUUAAGCUCAACUUAAACUCUGCAAAGGAAACUAUUUAUCUAGAGUUUGGUAAAGGUAAGGGGAAUUUCCUGUGGAGUGGUAAAAUAUGUAGAUAUCGGAAAGAACACCAAAGGCGAAGGCAUUUUACUAGACCAUAACUGACAUUGAGAGACGAAAGCUAGGGGAGCAAACGGG
rnacentral:rRNA from 1 species